UGCUUGUGUCCCCGCAGGGUCACCUGGGGAGGCGCGAACUCUAAGGUGACGUGUCCGGAGGAGAAGCCUUCGGGAGGAUCUUACGGGGCAUCUCCUCUGUGUCCCGCCUUCCCUUGAGCGCUAGGAAGUGGAGACGGACCCGAGCCAGCUGGCCAGCAGAGGAAUGUGACCGAGCUCCUCGUUGUGAAGCAGGCCGCUCACGUCACAAAGGACGCCCUGCACUGGUCAAGCCACCGACGUCCCAAAGGUGAG